AGAUUGAACGCUGGCGGCAGGCCUAACACAUGCAAGUCGAGCGGCAGCACGGGUACUUGUACCUGGUGGCGAGCGGCGGACGGGUGAGUAAUGCCUAGGAAUCUGCCUGGUAGUGGGGGAUAACGCUCGGAAACGGACGCUAAUACCGCAUACGUCCUACGGGAGAAAGCAGGGGACCUUCGGGCCUUGCGCUAUCAGAUGAGCCUAGGUCGGAUUAGCUAGUUGGUGAGGUAAUGGCUCACCAAGGCGACGAUCCGUAACUGGUCUGAGAGGAUGAUCAGUCACACUGGAACUGAGACACGGUCCAGACUCCUACGGGAGGCAGCAGUGGGGAAUAUUGGACAAUGGGCGAAAGCCUGAUCCAGCCAUGCCGCGCGUGUCGAAGAAGGUCUUCGGAUUGUAAAGCACUUUAAGUGGAGAAGGUCGUACUAAUACGUAUCUGUUUGACGUUACCGACAGAAUAAGCACGGCUAACUCUAGU
rnacentral:rRNA from 1 species